rnacentral:rRNA from 1 species
AUUGAACGCUGGCGGCAUGCCUUACACAUGCAAGUCGAACGGUAACAGGUCUUCGGAUGCUGACGAGUGGCGAACGGGUGAGUAAUACAUCGGAACGUGCCCGAUCGUGGGGGAUAACGAAGCGAAAGCUUUGCUAAUACCGCAUACGAUCUACGGAUGAAAGCAGGGGACCGCAAGGCCUUGCGCGAACGGAGCGGCCGAUGGCAGAUUAGGUAGUUGGUGGGAUAAAAGCUUACCAAGCCGACGAUCUGUAGCUGGUCUGAGAGGACGACCAGCCACACUGGGACUGAGACACGGCCCAGACUCCUACGGGAGGCAGCAGUGGGGAAUUUUGGACAAUGGGCGAAAGCCUGAUCCAGUCAUGCCGCGCGCAGGAUGAAGGCCUUCGGGUUGUAAACUGCUUUUGUACGGAACGAAAAGACUCUGGUUAAUACCUGGGGUCCAUGACGGUACCGUAAGAAUAAGCACCGGCUAACUACGUG